CUUUAUUUGUGAUACAGAAUAUAGAGACCGACUCCUUGCAACCAGUUUGCUCCCUCUCAGCUACUGGCACGAAUACCUGGAUGUAGUAUUUGUCUAUAAGGCAAAUCACGACAUUUUUAAUAUUGAUAAAAAAAUUCUUCCAUUUCCUCAACCUCAGGGUCAAAGACAGACAAGAUCAUUUAAUCCCAACUCGCACAAAUAUAAAAUUCCGACAUACAAGACGUCAACCUAUGAAAAAUCUUACAAAAUCCGAACAUCAAGAAUAUGGAACACACUACCCAAUUAUAUUACAUCCAAAGACCUAACAUUUUCAGAAUUCACUAAGAAUCUUCUUUUUAAGUACUAUAUUUUAGCAUUCGAAAAUACAUACGAUGUUGAGGAUCCCCGGACAUGGAAAAGUGUGUGUAUAAAAUGUAAUUCCGCUCGAAGUUUAAUGAACUCUCCAUUGACAUGCUGCUUUUAGACAAAUGUAAUGACUAUUCAAGUAUUGUCUGUUGUGUGUGUUUAGUAUACCUUGUAAAUUGUUUCUGUAUAACUAUUGGGGCCGCCGUAAUUGGCAAUAGCUGUUGUGGUUUCCCAGCCAAUGAAUGUAUAAGUAUGAUGGC